rnacentral:lncRNA from 1 species
UCCCUUCCCUUCCCUUCCCUUCCCUUCCCUUCCCUUCCCUUCCCUUCCCUUCCCUUCCCUUCCCUUCCCUUCCCUUCCCUUCCCUUCCCUUCCCUGACAGCAGGAUCCAUGGCCCCCUCCUGCCCAGGGCAGUGUGCUCUCUGGAGUGUGGCUCCCCACCUGAGGGGCUGGGAUCCCAAGGAAGGAAUAUUGCCAGGAAAUGGCAGAGAAGAGGAGGAGGCUGAGUUUCCAUGCUGGGAAAUGCCAUUCCAUGUGGGAAGUGGGCUGGGAUCUGAGGCCUUCCCAGAUUUGUCCUGGUUGCCCCAAAUUCGCGUUCCUAAGGGGUUAUUCCCCAGGGACUGAGGCCUUCCCAGAAUUGUCCUGGUUGCCCCAAAUUCGCGUUCCUAAGGGGUUAUUCCCCAGGGACCGAGGCCACUGGAACAGCAGUGUUCCCUCUUCCCGGCUGUUUUCCACUGCUCCUCUCCCACACACGGAUGGCAGCGCGGCUCUGGAUGGGCUCAGGACCUCGUAUCUCCCAUCUCGCUGGGAAUGCCGGCGAGUGCGUCACGGAGCUGCCUCCAGCAAUCCCUGCUGGAGAGAGGCUCUGCCAGAACGCUGGGACGGCACAUUCCUGCUGCUUCUGGCCCGGGUUUUACCCCGCACAUGCCCUGUCCUCCUGCCCCACGUGUCCAGGGAAAGUCACCGUGCAGGCAAUGGAAACGCUCUGGCCCCUCUGUGGCUGCACCGAUGAGCACAAGGAUGAAGGGCACCAUGAGGUGAUGACAGCAGGAAGUUCAUGAGCUGCUGGUUCCUGCUGAGGAGAACCAAAUCCUUGGAUUGCUGAGCAGGCAGGACUGGGAAUGGCACGGGAGGCACCCUAAAAGUGGAUGAAAUAAGAGUUUCAAGAGGGAAUUUCCUGGCCCUCAGCAACCUGGCUGGACAGCCUUUCCUUGCUCACAGCCAUUUCCUGUAGGGAUUUGUGCUUUCCAGGCUUGGAGGGAGGAAUGUGGAGCUCCAUGAUGAGCUCUGGCUCUGAAAUAGUCCCAAAAACUCCUCCAAAAUGCCCUGCUGGGAGCUGGGGAGGAACACUUGGACCUGCAGCCCCCUCUGGAAUUGUUCUUUUUCCUUCUGGUGUGGAGUAACUUUGCUGCUGCUGCAUCCUGGCUUUUCUGCUGAUAUAUCCUGGCUUUUCUGCUGAUAUAUCCUGGCUUUUCUGCUGAUAUAUCCCAGCUUUCUGCUGAUAUAUCCCGGCUUUUCUGCUCCUGUUGGGAAUUCCUGGCAUGACCCCGCUCCAGGCACCUGACGGGGGGCACCUGCUGCCCUCCCGUGUCCCUUGCAUGUGUCCUGGUCCCUUUUCCACACUGAUCCCAUCCCAGCCAGCCCUGGUGGAUACUGAGCUCGGGGAGCUGGAGUUCCUCGGGAGGCUGAGGGAUGCAGGAUUUGGGGUGGGAUAUGGAGGGCUGCUCCCCCUCCUCCCGUGUCCUCCACCCGAAGUCCUCACCCAGCUCCGUAUCCCAAUCCUCUGGAGCAGUCAUUCCUACAACUUCCCUGUAAAUAGGAUUUUGUAUCUUCUCCGACUAUUGCUAAUAAAUGGUUGCAAAACUGAGCCUGUGCCUGUUCCUGCUCUGCUUGUGCAGGUGCUGCUUCAUCCCUUAAAAUAUAAACAAGAUCCUGGCACGGCCCAGAGCUUUAACGGAGCCCAGGUCACCUCUUCCCCAGUUAUGAGUAAGGAAAACAUCCCACACAGAGCAAUAAAAAGCACAUGGGUCUGGAGCAGGUGUGAUGGAUGAGGAAUAUUGGAGAACUGAGGGCCAAAGGGCUCCAGGAAUGAGGGAUUUGUUCCCUCUCCCACUUGGUUUAUGUGACCGCAGGAUUCAAGAAUCAGUGAGUGGGGAUGAGUUGUGAGAGGGCUCCCGCUCCAAGGGAAUUUUCUGCAGCGCUGGAGAGCAGCUGGAGCUUUCCCAAGAGUAAAUGGAGGAGAAAAGUUCCUCCAGGGACAAUUCACCACCCAAAUGGGAACUGGCACUGGGAGGGGCAAACUCCCAUCUCACUCCAUCAGCUCGGAAGGGAUGAUUGUCCAGGACAGAAAUCCCAGUGCAGCAGGUCUGUGCUUUUGGGAAGCAGUGGAAUCCAAAACAUGGGAAAUUUGGCUCCUGGGAAGUGGUGCUGAACAGCCUGUGCAGCCAGGAGGGAUCUUCCUGCACUUUCUUCAGAAAAAAAAGGAGUGAAGUGGAGAAUUCGCACCCAAAUAAUGAGGUGUCCAAGAGCAUUUGGAUGAGACAUCAUCAGCGUUCCCUGAAAGUGCCACAGACAGGGUAAAAGGCUGAGGAUUCUAUCAAAUUUCAGCACGGCUUUUGGAGAAUGGGGCAAGAAUUUGGAUUAAUCAGGCUGGGACCAUCAAAGGAAGGGUGGAGGGAUGUAGGACAAGGGGGGAGAUUUGUCAGGGUGUGAGGGAUGCUGGAGAGAGGAAGGCAUCGAGCUGCUUCCCACGCCUGUUGAAAACAGGAAUUUGGGGGUCCUAAAUCCAGCCAGAGAGAGUCAGAGGAGACCUCAACCCCCCUGGGUUCCAUUGCCUGGAGAAGGGAGGGAAAUCGUAUUUAUUUUUGCACUUUUUUCUGCCUUUCGUUUGCGGCCAGGGCUCCCAGCACAGGGAGGAUGAGGAGCUGCUGGAGAAGGCCCUGGAGCUGCUCCAAAGGCUGGAGCCCCUCUGGAGUCAGGCUGGGAGAGCUGGGGGUGCUCACCUGGAGAGGAGAGGGAUCCAGGGAGAGCUCAGAGCCCUUUGCAGUGCCUAAAGGGGCUCCAGGAGAGCUGGAGAGGGACUGGAGACAAGGGAUGGAGGGACAGGACACAGGGAAUGGCUUCCUGAGGGCAGGGCUGGAUGGGAUAUUGGGAAGGAAUUGUUCCCUGGGAGGGUGGGGAGGCCCUGGAAUGGAUUUCUGAGGGGAUGCCCCUGGAUCCCUGGCAGUGCCCAAGGCCAGGCUGGACAGGGGUUGGAACAGCCUGGGGCAGUGGGAGGUGUCCCAGGUCGGGUGGGAUGGGGUGGGAUGGGAUGGGGUGGGAUGGGAUGGGGUGGGAUGGGAUGAAAUGGGGUGGGAUGGGAUGGGGUGGGAUGGGAUGGGGUGGGAUGGGGAUGGGAUGAAAUGGGGUGGGAUGGGAUGGGGAUGGGGUGGGACGGGAUGGAUUUUAAGGUCCUUUCCCACUCAAAAACCACUGGGUUUUCUUGAUUCCACGAAAACCCAGGAAGGGCCGAUGCGGGCAGCAGGAGCCUUUCCCCGGCAUUUGUGAGCUCCAGGCGCCCUCUGCUCUUCACGCUGUGAUUGAAACCAGCACCAAAUGAAAUCCAGCUUCCUGUGCCAGCUUAACCCUACACCUGCGCCAGGCCCCUUAACCCUAACUCUGCCCCACGGCGCCUCUUUAACCCUGAACCUCCCCCUCCUCUUAAACCCCCCUUUAACAGGGAACAUCCAUUUUUUUCUGCUUUAAAACCUCUCUCAGCUGCAGCCCGUAGGGUCCUGGGCACCCUCAGCGCAAUCACGUGUUUAAAUGUGUUUUAAAUACCAUUUAUUUGUUAUUUCUGUGUAUAACAUUUAUAUGGUAUUUAUUUAUAUAACAUCGGUUUAUAUUAUUCAAAUAUGCUUUCAGUAGCGUUGGUUUAAGUAGCAUUUACAUGCUAUUUAUUUGAAAGGAAUGAAUAUGUUCUAUAGGAUAAGAUAUGAU